rnacentral:pre_miRNA from 1 species
GGCCUCCCUCUGUGGGGCGAUCGAUCGCGGGGCCCCCGGAUCAAUCACCCCACAGAGGGAGGCC